GCGUCGAGCGGCGGACGGGUGAGUAAUGCCUAGGAAAUUGCCCUGAUGUGGGGGAUAACCAUUGGAAACGAUGGCUAAUACCGCAUGAUGCCUACGGGCCAAAGAGGGGGACCUUCGGGCCUCUCGCGUCAGGAUAUGCCUAGGUGGGAUUAGCUAGUUGGUGAGGUAAGGGCUCACCAAGGCGACGAUCCCUAGCUGGUCUGAGAGGAUGAUCAGCCACACUGGAACUGAGACACGGUCCAGACUCCUACGGGAGGCAGCAGUGGGGAAUAUUGCACAAUGGGCGCAAGCCUGAUGCAGCCAUGCCGCGUGUGUGAAGAAGGCCUUCGGGUUGUAAAGCACUUUCAGUCGUGAGGAAGGUGGUGUAGUUAAUAGCUGCAUUAUUUGACGUUAGCGACAGAAGAAGCACCGGCUAACUCCGUGCCAGCAGCCGCGGUAAUACGGAGGGUGCGAGCGUUAAUCGGAAUUACUGGGCGUAAAGCGCAUGCAGGUGGUUUGUUAAGUCAGAUGUGAAAGCCCGGGGCUCAACCUCGGAAUAGCAUUUGAAACUGGCAGACUAGAGUACUGUAGAGGGGGGUAGAAUUUCAGGUGUAGCGGUGAAAUGCGUAGAGAUCUGAAGGAAUACCGGUGGCGAAGGCGGCCCCCUGGACAGAUACUGACACUCAGAUGCGAAAGCGUGGGGAGCAAACAGGAUUAGAUACCCUGGUAGUCCACGCCGUAAACGAUGUCUACUUGGAGGUUGUGGCCUUGAGCCGUGGCUUUCGGAGCUAACGCGUUAAGUAGACCGCCUGGGGAGUACGGUCGCAAGAUUAAAACUCAAAUGAAUUGACGGGGGCCCGCACAAGCGGUGGAGCAUGUGGUUUAAUUCGAUGCAACGCGAAGAACCUUACCUACUCUUGACAUCCAGAGAACUUUCCAGAGAUGGAUUGGUGCCUUCGGGAACUCUGAGACAGGUGCUGCAUGGCUGUCGUCAGCUCGUGUUGUGAAAUGUUGGGUUAAGUCCCGCAACGAGCGCAACCCUUAUCCUUGUUUGCCAGCGAGUAAUGUCGGGAACUCCAGGGAGACUGCCGGUGAUAAACCGGAGGAAGGUGGGGACGACGUCAAGUCAUCAUGGCCCUUACGAGUAGGGCUACACACGUGCUACAAUGGCGCAUACAGAGGGCGGCCAACUUGCGAAAGUGAGCGAAUCCCAAAAAGUGCGUCGUAGUCCGGAUUGGAGUCUGCAACUCGACUCCAUGAAGUCGGAAUCGCUAGUAAUCGUGGAUCAGAAUGCCACGGUGAAUACGUUCCCGGGCCUUGUACACACCGCCCGUCACACCAUGGGAGUGGGCUGCAAAAGAAGUAGUGUAGUU
rnacentral:rRNA from 1 species